GACGAACGCUGGCGGCGUGCUUAACACAUGCAAGUCGUACGGUAAGGCCCUUUCGGGGGUACACGAGUGGCGAACGGGUGCGUAACACGUGAGUAACCUGCCCACAACUUUGGGAUAACGCUAGGAAACUGGUGCCAAUACUGGAUAUGUGCUCCUGCUGCAUGGUGGGGGUUGGAAAGCUCCGGCGGUUGUGGAUGGACUCGCGGCCUAUCAGCUUGUUGGUGGGGUAGUGGCCUACCAAGGCGGCGACGGGUAGCCGGCCUGAGAGGGUGACCGGCCACAUUGGGACUGAGAUACGGCCCAGACUCCUACGGGAGGCAGCAGUGGGGAAUAUUGCACAAUGGGCGCAAGCCUGAUGCAGCAACGCCGCGUGCGGGAUGACGGCCUUCGGGUUGUAAACCGCUUUCAGCAGGGACGAAGCUUUUUGUGACGGUACCUGCAGAAGAAGCACCGGCUAACUACGUG
rnacentral:rRNA from 1 species